ACAUUGGGCGGUCGAGAAUGAAAUGGUGGGGGCCCUAUUUUGGGCCCCACAAUCACUCGUCUUUUUUAAUUGAACAAGAAACCUUAUCAUAAAAUCAUGUACAUUUCACAAUCAAUCAACCGUCCAAGCCCAUGGGGAUGCCAAAAAUCACGACCACUUUCUUUACUUCUUGCUGCUGCUGCUUGGGUUGUUCUUGUUCGUUUCACUGCUUGCUUGCUGUGAUGGUAUAGUACAGUGCUAUGGUUGUGCAGUGGUAUUAUUGACCGACGUGGGAUCCAUUUUUACUGUGGAAAGGCAUGCUCUGGACCCAUUUUUACAUGUUGGGUUGGCUAGGUGUGGACCCUGACCCAGCUCCAGCUUAAUAGGUAUUGGACCUAUCGGUGUUCAGAUCAGUAUCCUAUGCUCCCGUUUGGCUGGCUACUACAUGUUGUUGCCCGCACAGUAUAUUUUUUUGGGAUAUUUAGUUUAUCACACUUACUUAUAGAUUGGACUCGAUAGACAGCCUGCGCGUUGCGAUAUGAAUAAAACAAAAUAAAGUAAAAAAAAUCAUGUUCAGACACACCUAAUGUGUUUUCUUUAAACAAGAAAAAUCUAAUAGAU
rnacentral:lncRNA from 1 species